rnacentral:rRNA from 1 species
UACGGAGGGUGCAAGCGUUAUCCGGAUUCACUGGGUUUAAAGGGUGCGUAGGUGGGCAAGUAAGUCAGUGGUGAAAUCUCCGGGCUUAACCCGGAAACUGCCAUUGAUACUAUUUGUCUUGAAUACUGUGGAGGUCAGCGGAAUAUGUCAUGUAGCGGUGAAAUGCUUAGAUAUGACAUAGAACACCAAUUGCGAAGGCAGCUUACUGGGCCUUGAUUGACGCUGAGGCACGAAAGCGUGGGGAUCAAACAGG